GCUCCCCGCUGAGCAGGGAUUCCCAACUCGGGACUUGAUGUCAGGACCCUGGAUCAUGACCUGAGCUGAAGUCAGAUGCUCAGCCCACUGAGACACCCAGGUGCCCCUGCCCUUUGGAUUUUUGAGGUAGUGUGCUGUCUUAGUGCCUGGACAUAACAGAUUUUAAUUCCCAUUCCUGAAUUGGUUUCUGUUUAUUAAAAUGGAAAUAGGUUCAUACUCCAGCCUAGAAGUGUUCGUGUUAAUAGGAAAAUGCAACAGAUCUGUCCUGCAGGAUGCAACAGAGCCGCAGUCUGUGCCUAGGGAGCGUGACUGGGCACAGGGGCCCAUGUGUGCUGCUGAGUGCCCUGCCUAUCACCUCUUCUCUUCUGGUGUUCUUUUCCUUAGGUGGACUGGCCCGAAGUCAGGAACAAAUGAAAAAUGCCUCUCCUGGUUCCACUACUCAACAGCAUCCCAUGUGAAGGCGUUCGUGGAGCACGUUGGCGUGUAUCAGUAGCAGUGUUCCAGCUAGGACAGCAUCCCCGUGCAGGACUGUCACUGGGGUUCAGUUUUGUAAAGCAGCAUGUGAGAACCACGAGCCAAGAGUUAGGUGGAGAGAACACUACAAGAGCAAGAAGGAGGGGACAGAGGCAAACCUUAGCCAUUGUUGGAGCUUGUCAUCCUUCAUCCAGACCUGAAGCCUGUGGUUUUGUGGGGCCAGGCUUAGAAGCAGAGCAGACUGAGUGUAGGACCUUGUAUAUUUCUGUGACUUUUUCUUACUCUUAGAGUUUUCUCACUCAGUUUGACAGGUUUUUUUGUUUUUGUUUUUAGCUAUUUGCCUUUAUUGCUUUAAUAUCCAAACCCUUCAACUUAGUUUUUGAAGAAGCAACCUUUUUUUAGGCUUGUUUUAUUAGUUUUCAUAAUGUUAAAUUACAUAAUUAAAACAGCAAGUACAACUUGCAUAAAAAGGUUUGGGAUCAGAUACAACUUUCUGAUGUAGAUGUGGGCACGUGUACCCGGAUUCCACUGCCCCCUCAUCUAUAAGAAUUGGCCGUGCAGGUGGUCACACGACUGGCAGAGAUGGGGCCAUGGUGGACUGUGAAUCCCUCACCUACAUUCCUGGGGACCAGGGAGUCCAGCACCAUGUUGUGGCUUUGAGUUCUGUGACUCCCUCUCCCCUGCCUUUUUGGAACCGUGCUCACUGGUCUGCUGGUACUGGCAAAACGCUUCUUGCCCAAGCCACUGCAGGGGAGGCCAGCGUGCCUUUCAUCACCGUGAAUGGGUCAGAGUUCCUGGAACUGUUUGUCGGCGUUGGGCAGCAAGGGUUCAUGACAUGUUUGCGGUGGCUCGAAAAAAAUGCUCCUUGUAUCUUAUUCAUUGAUGAGAUUGAUGCAGUUGUUAGGAACCGAGGCUGAGGGCACUUCGGAGGCUGGAGCGAGCAGGAGAACACCCUGAACCAGACGCUUGUGGAGAUGGGUGGCACCGCUGACGUCAGAGGCAUGUCCUCCAUCUCCACAGUCCACCUGCGUCCACAGAAGCUGGACAAGAGCCUCUGUAAGGAUGCCCUGGCAAGAAAGCUUGUGGUGCUCACUUUGGGCUUCUCAGGUCAGGUGCUGGCGUUUCUCGUGUCUGCAAGGAAGCAGUGCUGUUGCCACCCACCACCUGGGUCCCUGUGUUCCGGAGAUGGGCUUUGAGCCGGCCAUUGGGGGUCAUCGGAGAUUGUGCAGUGGGGAUGAGCGACAAGUUGGACAGGUGUCCUUUGACUUCCCCCCACAAGGCGAGAUGCCGGUCGAGAAGCCGUACGGUGAGGCCACUGCCCAGCUCAUCAGGGUGCGGGACCUCAUCAGCUCUGCCUGUGAGGGGGCCUGGCACUGCUGACCCGGUGCCGAGAGCAGCUGGGCAGGUGGGCAGGCCGCUGCUGGGGAAGGAGGUGCUGGCAGAGGAGGAUGUGAUGGAGCUGCUGGGGCCUGACCCCUUGCGGAGAAGUCCACACACGAGGAGCCUGCAGGAGGACGCGUCCCUUCUUAAGGGGCUGAAGGGCUGGAACCAGGGGCAGGAGGAGGGGACCUCAAAGCGCCGCCUGCAGAAGAGCCCAGCUUAGCGACCUUGGCUUUGAAAGCUGCUGCCAAAAUCAUGGGAAAACAAAUUAAAACAUGAUUAACAGCAAA